ensembl:lncRNA
AGAAAACUAAUAUUUAUGUAAUUAUGAUCAUUAAAUAAAUAAUUAUGAAUAAAUUGCUUCAAUAAUCAAAUAAUUAAAAUACUUCUGACUAGUUUGUAGGUCGAAGGUAAUUAUGGAAUCUUUUUAUUGUGUUUUUGCAUCUUCUUGGGGUGUUUACGAAUCUUUUCUUGGUCAUUUAGUGUCUUUUUGAUCAGGAUUUUAUGACUUUCUAUUGUGAUUUUCAUCUUUUUCUGGUAUUUUUUCAUCUCCUUGUGGUGAUUUAGAGUUCUGUAGUUGAACUGAACCAUCAGAUAUUUUCAGCUGCUAACAGAAAGUGAAACGCCGAACGGCUGGACUGGUUUUCUUUGUGGACUGGAACAGGUAGGAUGGUUAUAUAACACAUAGCAGCAGUUUAUCAGAUACACGCCUGUUUCUGCUCUUCGUCUGCAGAGAUUCAAUCCAAAAGACAAUCUGCAGCAAAUACAACAAAUAUGGAAACGUUCCCUUUUAUUGUUCUCAAUAGUUUUCAAUUUAACGCACAAAACAAGCACUGAAAGGCACAAAACCACCAGUAAAAGGCACAAAACCACCAAUAAAGGCACAAAACCACCAGUAAAAGGCACAAAACCACCAGUAAAAGGUACAAAACCACCAGUAAAGGCAAAAAACCACCAGUAAAAGGCACAAAACCACCAGUAAAAGGCACAAAAUCACCACUAAAAGGCACAAAACCACCACUAAAAGGCACAAAACCACCAGUAAAAGGCACAAAACCACCAGUAAAAGGUACAAAACCACCAGUAAAAGGCACAAAACCACCACUGAAAUGCACAAAACCACCAGUAAAAGAAACAAAACUACCAGUAAAAGGCACAAAACCACCAGUGAAAUGCACAAAACCACCAGUAAAAGAAACAAAACCACCACUAAAAGGUACAAAACCACCACUGAAAGGCACAAAACCACCAGUAAAAGGCACAAAACCACCAGUAAAAGGCACAAAACCACCACUAAAAGGUACAAAACCACCAGUAAAAGUCACAAAACCACCACUAAAAGGUACAAAACUACCAGUAAAAGGCACGAAACGACCACUAAAAGAAACAAAACCACCAGUAAAAGGCACAAAACCUCCACUAAAAGAAACAAAACCACCAGUAAAAGGCACAAAACCUCCACUAAAGGGCAUGAAAUAAUCAAAAGAGGUCAAAUUAAUGCUAAAAAAAAAAAAUGACCACAUUUCUGAUUUUGUGUCCAUUUAUGUUGAUUUUGCAUCUUUUUGCAGUGGUUUUAAGUAUUUUUGUGAAGAUUCUGAGUCUUUCUCUGAUGAUUUUGCUUCUUUCUGAGGUCAUUUUGUGUCUUUUAAUGGUGAUUUUAUACCUUUUGCUUUAGUUUUAAAUGCUUUGGAGGUGAUUUUACAUUUUUUUUGUUAAUUUUGCAUCUUUUUAUGGUUGUUUUUUGCCUUUUUGUGGUGAUUUUGCAUCUUUUUAUUGUGAUUUUCAGUCUCUUUAUGGUGAUUCUGAGUCUUUUUAUGGUGAUUUUGCAUCUUUUUGGACUAAUUUGUGUCUUACAGCGAUGAUUUAAUUUAUUUUCCAAUGAUUUUGCUUUCUUUUAGUUGAUUGUGACUGUUUUUGUGGUUGUUUUGUGCCAUUGUGUGGUAAUUUUAUGUCUUUUUAUGGUGAUUUUGCAUCAUUAUGUGG